CAUCAGUGAUGAUUGAUAACAGACAAGCAUAUGUCUGACUUUAUAGUGAUGUCUUUUAUGAUCUGAGAUG